GUGCCAGCAGCCGCGGUAAUACGUAGGACGCAAGCGUUAUCCGGAUUUAUUGGGUUUAAAGGGUGCGUAGGCGGACCCAUAAGUCAGUGGUGAAAGACUGUCGCUUAACGAUAGCAUUGCCAUUGAUACUGUGGGUCUUGAGUAUAAUUGAGGUAGGCGGAAUGUGUAGUGUAGCGGUGAAAUGCUUAGAUAUUACACAGAACACCGAUUGCGAAGGCAGCUUACUAAGUUAUAACUGACGCUGAGGCACGAAAGCGUGGGGAUCAAACAGGAUUAGAAACCCUGGUAGUCC
rnacentral:rRNA from 1 species